rnacentral:rRNA from 1 species
GAUGAACGCUAGCGGGAGGCCUAACACAUGCAAGCCGAGCGGUAUUUCUUCUUCGGGAGAGAGAGAGCGGCGUACGGGUGCGGAACACGUGUGCAACCUGCCUUUAUCUAGAGGAUAGCCUUUCGAAAGGAAGAUUAAUACUCUAUAAUAUAUUAAUUGGCAUCAAUUGAUAUUGAAAACUCCGGUGGAUAGAGAUGGGCACGCGCAAGAUUAGCUAGUUGGUGAGGUAACGGUUCACCAAGGCAAUGAUCUUUAGGGGGCCUGAGAGGGUGAUCCCCCACCCGGGUACGAGAACACGGACCGACUGCCAACGGGAGGCAGAAGUGUGGAAUAUUGGUUAAGGGGUGCAAGCCUAAACCAGCCAUCCCGAGUAAAGAAUAAAGGUCCUAGGGAUUGUAAACUUCUUUUGUAAAGGGAAAACCCUACCCUCGUGAGGGUAGCUGAAGGUACUAUACGAAUAAGCACCGGCUAACUCCGUGCCAGCCCCCGCGGUAA